CAGGGGUGGCAGGGGGGUGGCACUGAGAUGUCACCUGUCACCCACCCCCGUGGGGCGCUGCCUCAAUGGAGCUCCUUGUGCCGCUGUGGUGCCACCCCGGUGCCAAUCCCACUCGUGGGGACACAGAUGCCGCAUUGUCCCGGCCUCGGGGACACGUGGGGACACCGAGGGGACACCGAGGGGACACCGAGGGGCUCGCUGCGGGUGGGGGGGGUGGGGCAGCUCUGCUCAUCCCGGGAUUUUGGGGAGGGGGAUGGGAGGGGCGGGAUUCCCGAGAUUCCUGGGAUUCCUGGAUUCCGGGAUUUUGGGAUUCCCAGGAUUCCCAGGAUUCUCAGGAUUCCCAGGAUUUUGGGAUUUCAGGAUUUUGGGAUUCCCGGGAUUUUGGGAUUCCCGGGAUUCCGGCAUUCCCGGGAUUUUGGGAUUCCGGGAUCUCGGGGCCGUCACAGCGCCGCCAGCGCGGCCGAGGACAGCACGGUCAGGGCCAGCACCAGCAGCCCCGACUGCGUCACCUGCGGCAGCUUCAGCCCCUUGCCCAGGUCCCAGGCCUGCGGAGACAGCGGGGACAGCGGCGUCACUUUGU
rnacentral:lncRNA from 1 species